CGGACUAAUGUCAAGUUUGGUAUGGAGGUUUUUGAACAAUAAACUACAAUUGACCUUACAGAGCUAUUACGGCGUACAGUGUCGCUGGAUGUCACGGAGCUGUUAGCAUGCACAGCUUCACGGUGAUGCCAGGCUACAGUCUUAUUGAACUUCUAUCACUGCAC